CUGUCUCACAGUGCUCCCUUCUCUGUGCUUCUGCGUCCAAAUUUCUCUCUUUUUAUAAGGACAUAUUAGAUUUAGGGCCCACCCUCCUCCAAUCUGACCUCCUCUUAACUACACCUGCAAAAACCCUGUUUCCAAAUAAGAUCGCAUUCACACGUAUGGAAGGGUAGGACUUCAACAUAGCAUUUUGAGGGUCAUGAUAUAGCCCACAAGAGACUUUAAGGCUUUUGGAGGCUGUGAGCUGUCCUGCUGAGGCCCUGGAGUGGCUGGCAGAGCGUGGGCCGGACCGGGGCAGGCUCUGCCGACAGAAACACCGGCACAUCCACGGGGGCGGGGGGAGGGGGUCAUGCUGGUGUCUUCUCUCUCUCUCUCUCUCUCUCCUUUCUUGUACAUUUGGUUCUUCUCAAAUGUGAGUUUUCUGUAUCAGCAUCCCGCCCCCCGCCCACACCCAAGUCUCACUUCCUGUUUUCGGCCUUCUGCCUGAGCUGCUUCACAAGUUGAACCUGCAGGGCUGGGCCUGCCCCGGCAAGGCAUGUAUUUAUUUUUUUCUGGAAGGAAGAAGCGGUGACAGGUUAUAGGCUGGAGGCUGUCCCUGUGCUCGGAUCCCACACAGGGCAAAGUCCUUCACAGUGGCACCCAGUGACCGGCCCUGACUUUGAUCUUGGGAGCUUUCCUCUCCACCCAAGAGGCUCUGAGGUCAUCUCUGUCUCAGAAAAUCAGCAAGAUCAACAGCGGGACAGUGGGGACUGCCGGCCACUCUCAUCUGCAUCAUGUUCAGAUUUUAUUGCUCCUACUUCAUUAUUUCAAAGCCACAUGUUGAUGUCCAUGACUGGUGCAGAACAGCCCUGAUGGUUCUAGAAGCACCAUGGUCUGACCUGUCCUGACAGAUGAUCCAGCCAUGAAAUGCUGGCGCAGGUGUGGAUUGAACCAUCCUCUUCUCUCUCUUCACUCUCUGGAAACAAGACCCUGAAGUCCAGAUGGCCAAGGACUGCACCAGCUCUUACAGACAGGCUGAAGUCGGGACACAGGGCCUGGCUGGCACCCCGAUCUCCAGACUAUGCUGCCUUCCACUGCCGGGUCCCAGGACCCAGAUGUGAGUGAAUCUUUGUUUUUGACUUGCAUUCAUUCCUUUAUAAGACCCACAAAUCCUUUGUCCUAACGCCACUUGUUAGGACUGACAGAUUCCUGAUCAUGGUGUAUAUGCUGUUAUCAGUAGGUUCCAAAGCUUGUCCUUGAUGCUCACAGUCUCAGAGUUGAAGAGGCCCUGGCGGGCACCCAGGCCAGCCUUGUCUGGUAAGUGCCUAGGCCCUUGAGACCACCUCAUGCCCUUCAUAGACAGAGACAAAUUAAAAACAGAGACUUGAUUCUCCUGAUUGAAAAGAAGGGAAGAGAUUUUCUCUCCUUUUUCUCUGAACAUCUACUUUUUUUUUUUGAAAUGGAGUCUCACUUUGUAGCCCAGACUGGAGUGCAGUGGU